UCUCACAAAUCAAUAUUCAAACUUUCUUCAACAUCCAAUUUUCUCUCUCACCUUCACCAUAAUUGAAGAAAAGAUAGGGGUUGUUCGCCGGAUCGUUUUAUCACAGGAAAACUCUGUUCCUCGUCUCAUAGUUUUUCUGAUCAACAGAUGAAGUUCGCUGUUUCGUUUCUCAGAUCCGAAUCGAACAAAAGGUGAAGUUCGCUGGAUCGCCGGAUCGCUGAUCAAUAGGUGAAGUUCGUCGGAUCGCUGCAUCGCCGGAAUCAAAGAAAAAAAGUCGGAUCUCUCGAUUUCUCUCGGGUAUAUCAGAUAAAAGUUUGCAAAUGAUUUUCGAGAGUUAUCUUCAUCUAGAGUCACUCGGUGCGUCAAGAUAACAGACGGGGGCUUGCGGCAUGUAAUGGUCAAGUGCUCUGGCCUCGAGAGCCUAAAUCUUUAUGCACUUUCAAGAAUCUAUCCGAUGAUAACGCUUUUCUCUAUAGCCAAAUGCAAAAACAUUCGUACUCUCAGUUGUAUGAUUUACAUUUUACAAUACUGAAGUGUUUGCAAUCUUCUAACAUCGACAUAUUCAUACGAUGUUUGGGUAAGGCACAAAUUAAGCAUGGUUAACGGUUAGUCUUUAGUGCUACUUAUUGUUUGGAGAUUGCAAAAAGUGUGCGGUGCUUUGACUUUAUAAGUCAAAAGGGAUACACAUCACAUACACUUUGACUUUAUAGGUCAAACAAGCCAUAUUUCAACUUGAAUACAACUUCAGACAUGAUUAGUCAAGCCUGCUAUAUUUCAUCUUAAAAAUUGAUAUGACUUCAUAAAAGAUUUUCACAACUCUAUAACAUCAAUUUUUAUGUUGGUUUUAUUCUUUAACUAAAUCCAUAAUGAUUUGACAACCAAAAGCACUAGGUUUGAAUUAUAAAGUCAAAGUCUAUACCAUAUAUUGAAUUGUCCCAAUCUCGCAACAUUGGACCGUGCAUGUAUUUUCUUGAUCGAAAGACGAAAGACAUACCCUUUGACUUUUUAGGUCAAAUAGACUUCAUUUCAACUUCGAAAUUGAUACGAUCAUUCUCUCUUGAAAUACCAACUUCAUAGUAAGAAACAGAAACAUGGCAGCAUUUAUGUCAAAAUUAUGAGAAAUUGUUGUUUUUACAUUUCAGUUUCUUUUCAAGUCGAAACAUUAAGGUUGCAAUGCCUGUUAGGAACUAUACUACAUCGAGCAUGAAAUUCAGGAGACGUCGUAAACGAGGAAAGUGGAGAUGGAAGGUCGAUAAGGAUGAUUCACGUAUGAG